UUUACCAUGCUAAAAAUUCUAAAAAUAUUCUUAUAAAAUACAGAUGUUUGCUGUUCAGAUCUAAUUUAGGUUAAAAAUCGAAUUGAACAACACCGGAUAGAUUGGACAAACUGUCAAAAACUGGACAAAAUAUGGACAAGAUUCCAUUAAUAACUUUAACUGAUCUUCUAUUGUCUAUCUUUGUAUGGUGAAUUAUAUAUAAAUAUUUAAUUAUAAUGUGCUUCUGAGAGUUAAUGGUGUAGCCAGACUGUUGUCUGAGGGUAUGAUGCUAUUCGGGGCAUUUUUAUGGGCAAGAAGAAAGAAACUACUGUUUGUUGUAUGAAGAUUGUGGUCAAAAUGGAUAAAUGUUUGCAGGUACAGCCCUGAGGUGAUUCAUGUGGAGGAUGCUGAUGAUAUUUCCAGAUUCACACAGAAGUGGAGCUUAGACAACUGUGGUGAUAGAGAUAAAUGUCUUUUUUGAGCCUUGUGUUUGGAUGAUACUAUGAUCUGCGACUAUUACUAUGACUUCUAUUACUAUUUCUUGUAGGAGCCUAAAUAAAAAAUAUCAGUUCAGGAAAAAAACCUUUAUAGCCCAUUGAGCUGGGCAUUUUAACGCUAGUGUUGUAAUUAAAAUCCUGUACUUUGGAGUAUAGAAGUUGGGAGAAGACAGAAGACUUUGAUUAAUGCUUAAGUUUCCACUGCUCUCAUUGGUAGUUAUAAACCAGUGAGACCGUGUAGUGAGUCAAAAACUGCUUUUUGUUUGUUUGUUUUUCUUAUUUUAGGGAGUAGGCUGGGCUUUGCAUUGAGGACAGAUAAUCUUGUAUCUGGUCACUAAGAAUUUUAUUUUAUCUUCCUUCUUUUUGUCAGCUACAGAGUACUGAGCUAGAAAAACCAAAAGCUUGCGCAGGUAUGGCAGAUAAUGGCUUGCCAAUAAUGUUCUUGCUUGAUCAGUAUUGGUAUGCUCUGUGCAAUAGCAUCCAUUUCACGUUCUUUGGAACGUCUACACAGAUUGUGGUUGGGUUUUCUUUGUUUUCAUCUUAUUUUCUAACGAUUUGCUCUUUAUUUUUUAUUCAGCCAGAAAUCUCUGGUUAAAUGUUUAACCUAAACAGUACUGCUACACGGUCUUUUUUCAAUUUGUGCAGAUUUUUACUUUGAUUAAUAAUUUUAUCUCCAAAUCCUGUGUAAUGUGGGUAGUAGACACUAGCAGCCACUGUGAUUGCAGUCAUACUAUUUCCACUUCUGCCUGUGUUGCAUCAUGUUUGAAGACUAGCCUUUUCUCUGGGUUACACCAUUUCAGUACUGAAGUAUUUGUGCUGCUCCUUUAUUUUUUCUACAGCCUUUUUUGUACAGUCUUUCUUGUUCUCGCAUAAAGCUGUUAUCUGCCAGUUGUCUCAAAAACUAAUUUUGUGGCAAGGAAAGAUGUAUGAGAACAGGUUAUUUGCUUUCUUUGAGUCUUCAGUAUUGUAUCUGUUUACAGAUGCAUAAUCUCUAGAGAGCUAGCAGCUGACCAAGACUUGCUAAGGGAACAGGCUAAAUGGUUUUCCUCAUUUAACUUACAGCUUUUUGGAUGUCAGAAGACAUCACGGUGAAUUAUAGUUUGGUAUUGUUUUUGUUUGGAAAUGUUUCUAGAUUUUGAUCAUCCUUGCCAUGUUUUUGUUAUCAAUACUUGCGUAUUAUGCUCAUUCUCUUUAUUAGCUUGUUGUUGUUGUUUCUUCCAGUAAUGGGAGUUUCCCUGUAAUCCCUCGGCUACAAACAAUCAUUCAAGUAGCUGAUAGAGUUUCUAUUGAAAUGUCUGAGGUAGUCAGUACCAUACCAGUGGCAUUCGUAACCUCUGAUGUCCACUGAAUGCGAUUGCAAAGAGCCCCUGUUCAUAAAACUCUCUGCGCCAAAAUCCAUUUAGCUGUUCUUUUAACAGCCCCAACUGAGAGAAUGCAGUUUUGUUAAGCUUGGCUAAGUAAAAUCUCACUCCCCAACCCGGUGUAACUAGGUGGAUUACUGGAAAAAGUAUUUUUGUAUGCUUAACAAUUGGUAGUUUAAAUGUACAUCUUCUGAAUAUUCUACUUUCUGUCCUACUGCCAGUAGGUUUUGUAUGUUACCAUCUAUAGCCUUUGACCACUACAAAAGAAACUGAAAAAGAGACAUGUUUGUGUAUCUCAUUCCCUUGUUGGUUAUCUACUCUGCCGACAGUAGUUUAAGUAGAAUACCACCAGGAAGCACAUAGAAAAGCUCUGAAAAACAACGGAAGUAUUGAUUAGGAGCAGCCUUUCCUGACUCCAGUUACUCUGCAUCAUUUUUAAAUGAAAAAAAAAAAAAGUUCAGAGGAAUUGUAAGGACUGAAAAUGCUGACCAAAGCGGGAAGGGGAGCAGAGAGAUUGUAAGCAAAUUGAAGCUGAUAAAGAAAUAUAGGAACAGCAAGUGUCUGUCUGGCUUACUCAACCUGUAUUUGGUCUUAUUCAAAUUAUCAUUAGAGACUGAGCUUUUGUAAGAAGUUUUGUAAAAGGGUCCUUUGUGCUAAGCUACCAUCCAGAAUUUAAGAAUCUCCUGUUUAAUUGGAUAAACUUUGUCUUCAGUGAAGGCAGAAUUUUUGCUUAGUUAUCAUUAUGGAUCCCCACAGAAAGAGGUAUAGAAAGUGGUGUGUAUGUAAUCUUGGUGGCCAGGUCUUAAUGUGGUUGAUAAAUGCAGCAGGCAGGGGAGGUACAAAAACUUUGGCUGUUGCCUCAUGGAUGUGCUUGAGGCAGACUAAUAGGGGCCAAGGUGCAUUUGGAUCUGUAACACCCUUCCUGUUUUAUUCUUCUUCUACUGCAGACCACACUUGCUAUAGUGCUCACAUUCUUUAUACUUUAAUGCAUUUUUUUAAAAAGUAAAACUUGUUCAGUGACCACAGUGUCUUGGUCUGCUUAUGUGCUUAUUGUGACAUGCUAGAUGUCAGUCCCAAGUACGUAUACUGAUCUCCUUGCGUUCUUUCUGUUCAGUUGGAUGUGUGGUUUUAUUUGUUGUUUUCUUUAUAGCGCAGAAUGAGUUCCAUAACAGUUAGUGGGUGUAGGCCUCAGAUUUGUCAUAGCCAUGAAUACUUCAAAACGUACGAGUCAUGGGUUUCUGUCAGUAUUCAUAAAAACUGGUUGUGCUUUAUUUUUCCUGGUUCCUGAUCCAUUGAGAAAAAUUUGAUCUUUUUCAUUGUUUUCUUCCUUUGGAGUUACAGUAUUAAUCAAGUAUUAGUUGUCUCAUGCACUUGUCUGUUCUGCUGCUUUCCCACAUUACAAAUACUUGAAUGCAAAAUGAUGUUGCUUUUAACCAGAGAACAAAACGUUGUUGCUUUAUAUGGCUUUUUCUUUUCUAGCUUGUUUCAUUUAACAUAGAAACAGAAGUCUUCUUUUGUAUUACAGAAAGUUUUAUUGCUACUGUACAGUAAUCAUGAUGAAGUGCAUAUUUUUUAUUAUUAAAAUUUCAUUUUUUUUUUUUGAAUAAAAUAUAUACCCACUCCUACCUGAGAUUGGAGGACAGCCAGUACCUCUGAACAAAGACGCUUGGUUCCUGGUAUGGCACAGUACUUUGGAGAGACCUCAGCAGGCUUCCCACCACUGCAGAAUGUAGAGAGAAUAAAGUGUUUCCAGUACUGCCCCUCUGGACCCAAGGACAGCUUUUGCUGAAUUAGAAUUUAGGACCAGCUAUGUGAGAAUUCAUUUACUCAGUAAAUUAAAUGCUUUUAUGUGAGCCUGGGUAUAUUUAGAGCUUGGUUAAGAGGCUCCCAUAGUAGUCUGAAUACUUUUUUUCCCCCCAUCCUAUCCCUAUUGUCAUUAAUAUCUAUAAAUCUUAAUUGAAAUUACAGAGCUGACAAGAUGUGCUAGUCUGUAGUCAGCUGGGAUGAGAAGUGGCUCUGGUCCUGGGCCAGCAAAGGAAUCAACACUAUUUAACCAGUUCCAAGUGCAGAGGAUCAGUGCUUUCAUGUUAGAAAGAAGAUGGUCAUACCUCAGAGUUAGUUAAACAUGAGGAAGGAGGGGUAGAAGUGUCCAAUGCUCAGAACUAUAUACACAAUGUGCGUGGUUCUGAAUAUGUGUCCAUCAUAACAGGCCAGCUGCUUUUUUAUUUAAAUCCUCACUUCUCCUGGCUGCAUACUAGUUUGCAGAAUUACCGCUUAGAGAAAUGAGGAUCAGUGUAUUUAAUCACUGGUUGAACAGUAUCAAAGUAGAUACCAGGGAACUGCAGAAAAUACCUGCUAAUUAAUGGUAUAGAAUUAAUGCUGUUUCAUUUUUUAUUGACAAGUUUGGUGAUGGAGGUGCCAUGGCCAAGAUUCAGAUACCUCUGCAGGUGUGCAUGCGUGUUUUGGGGUACAGCAAUCCUGUGACGAAUAUCUCACCUUGACCGUUGUGGUUUUAGCUAACACUUUGGGUCAAGAAUGCUUUUUUGGACUAAUUCUCAUCUGUCCCCUGGAGCUCACUUUAACUUUUACAGCAAAUACCAACUCUGCUGUGCUUCCUGCUCAGAGGUGUUUGCUGAGGCUUCUGGAGGUAUUAAAAGCUGCAAAUCUGAAAAAAUAUGAAGGCUUGUUUCUCCUCCUUGAACUUUUACUGGGACAUUGUGCAAGCUCCACUGACAGUGGGUGCCCUCUUCCUGCCCCUGGCUUUAUCACGCACAGGGUAUGUUUUAUUUCCUCCCUCCCUGGUGUGUCUGAAGCCUUUUGCAAGUUGCUGCCCUCUUCCUGAGGAGAAAGGGCUCUAGGGAGAGACAUGCUAGACUGAUGAGGAGAGAGAAAGAAAGCUUUUAGAUACAGUGUUCUGUCAAAGAAGGAAAAACAAAAAGAAGCUAGAAUAAGCAGGAAGAGUCUCCACAGACUUGACAACUGAACUUUAGAAUGAGCUGUGAAGUGCUUUUUAGCUGUUCUGUGCAUUCGUGUUUAAGAUGGCAACUGCUCUUGAAAGCUGAGCACUCUGCCUUACUCUUUCUUCUAGUGUUCACCCAGACCACUAUGGAAAGCAUGAGGGAAAAAAGCAGUACUCACCCUUUGCUUCAAGAAAUUAGGGCACUCAGGCUUAAUCAGCUUGGGUCUUCUGCUUCACAGUAGAGUGCCAUUUAUAAGCGAACAUACAAAAAAACCCUCUCAAUCUUACACCUAGGUUGAGAAAGACUUGAAACAAAUUUCAGAAUUUAAAUGAUCAGUCUCAAGGAUUCUUGGAAAAAUAUUAUUGUAUUUAAGUUGUCCUGGUGUAUGAGUUUAUAAUUCAAUGAAUUCAAUUCAUUUAUUAAUGCCUUUUUUUUCUCCGACGCUGCCUUCUGAUGCUUAACAAUAAGAGUUCCCAUGUAGAUUACAACUACACUACUGCAACACGCUGCAUGCCUUCUCUCACUUUUGUCAAUAACUUUUCCUUAGUCUUGAAAUAUGUUCUAUAUUUUAUCUGGGUUUGACAGACUUUUUUUUUUUAACCUUUUUAUUAUGAAAAUGAUUCACACCUAAUGCAGCCCUAGAUUCUGCUGCAUUAUUGUUUUGUCUAAUUCUUUAAAGAGGCAAGUUUCCGUGCACCAAAUCCACAAAAGUACGUACAGCUAUUAUAAAAGUACACAGAUUAUUCUGUUUAGCUAAAAGGGAAAGGAAGGUUUUCUUUGCUCCCCACCCACUUCUUUCUGUCCUUCAGAAAGAACAGUUAUUCAGUUCUGGUUCAGUCAGGAGCUUUGUAAUAAUGGAAAAGUAUAGUUCCUUCUAUGGUGAAGUGACCAGUUCCCUUCAGUAGGGAUAUAAACCCAAAUGAAGACUAUGCACAAGACUAUUAUGACCAACUUAGUAGUAUAAGGAUGCUAAUAACUUUUUUUUAAUUAUCAUUAUCAAUCUCUAAACAGAACCAAAGUCCAGAGCAUGGAGGGUGUUUUACACACCACACCACUGAAAGGUGAGGAUCUGGUAUAUGAGGUGUACUUAGAAUGUCUGUGGGGUUUGAUUUUCAUUAAAUCUAGUAUGAUGUAUUUGGUGAUUUUUGCAUCCUAAAUCAGGAGUUACCCAUGCUGUAAUUUGAAACUUUAACUCUUCUGUCAAAUGUGACAGUAUAUAGAUUUAGCCAGUGGUUUGGCAAAUAUUAAGUGUUCCUAGAAUAAGAACUUUGAGGCUGAGAGUGGCAGUUGAAUUACCCAGAUUCAAUGAGGUUAAGGAAGCUGAAGGAACUUUCUGACUCCUUUCUUGUAAGUGAUUUUUGUAAAGAGAACUUUUUCCUCUGCCAUUGCUAUCCUUGAUAGAUCUGUUAUAAAAGUUAAAUCAUUUAUCAAAACUGCCACAGCUCCCAUGACCCAUAAAAGAAGGACUAUCAGACCUUAAUUGCAAGAGCUGUGUAAUUUCAGAACUUCUCUUCCCUUGUUCACCUACUCUCUGACCUUUGUGUCAACUUCUAAUUUCCCUCUGUAAUUGACUCUGUUUCUAGUACAGCAAACGAUAGCAGCAGACGCAUCUUCCUAAUACUGUGGAAGAUGGAAAUAACAUUGUCAAAUGUCUAGCAAAUUUACUUAUAUCUAUUUAAAAUUCAAGCUUUUGAGGGGAAAAAAAAUAGAAGUAUUAGUCUUAACAAGUUUCAGCUGAAAAAAAGAAUGAGUUUCCCUAAAUCUUGAGGUUUUGCUUGUUUCUGUUUGUUUUUAAUACAUAGACCAAUAAGGACUUUGGCCCAAAUUUGAAGAUAAUAAGGGUUUUAGGACAGCCAUUUGGCUCAAGACUUGCUCAUUCCAGUCACAAGGAACACAGCUAAUAAAUUGAGACAGAGCCCAAAGAGGGGAAUUGGAAUAGGCUCUGAGUAUAUUGUAUUGGGAAAAAUUCAUAUCCAAGAUGUGUCUCUAUAUGCAGUAGAAAAGCUUCUACAGGGAACUCUACCUUGGUCUUACUGUAGAAACAUAGGCAAAAGUGUACUUACUUUUUGAAUUGGUUUCUAUACCCUAAAAUAAGUAGAACAGGAGUUAGCCUUCUCUUUAGGUUGCAUUCAGCUUACUUUUUAGAUUUAUGCAUACAAAGAUCUGAAGUCACAUUUAGUUCUUGUUCAUUCUUUGUCCUUCUCCCAUUUAACUGAUAAAAUCAUGGAAUGUUGUACUCACAGCUAAAAACAUGUCUUUUUGAGACUAAAGAUCACUUAACAGCUGUAUCUUUUUCCAACAGGUCUAUCUUCCUCUUGUAAGAUGUGUAUGUCAGAUCAAAAUAUAGUAAAUACCUUCAAGUAGACUCCAUUAAUGACUGGAAGUUUUCUUAAAAAAUGGUAACCAUAUGAUUAAGAAAGGUAGGCAUGUGAUUAAAAGCUAUGGGCUUGAAACUGUGAUACUGCAGAGGAAAGGGGUUUAUAACAGGCGUCCUUAGAAAAAUCCUGACAGUUAAAUAUGAAAGGACUGAAAAUCUGAGUAUGAGGAUGAAUUGUAAGGUAAGAACUCCACAAAUUUUUUUUUUGCCCUUCUUGAAGAGACUUGUUUCAGCACUGCCUUUCCCAGCUUUUCCUGCAUGUCACUGUACUUACUGACUGAGACAGAAAAUUGAUUGGUUGUGUGUACUCAUGAAUGCCAUUUACCUUACUGGUUAACCAGCAUCACUAAGUCAGUAACUGUAAACGCACACAAAAAAAUGGACUUAAGUUCUAAGCUACUCCAGUUAGAAGUAAUGUUUAAAUAAAUGAAUUAUCAGUUCAUAAGACAAUGCUGUUGACAAUUAUGACAACUGGAAAUGACUUUUUGUAUAUACCCGGCAGCUAUAAAAAGAGAAAAAGACUGUUAAUUCUUAGGAAACUACAACUGAACAGGCCCAGUUUUACAGGAGAGAAGAGGAAAGCAUGAUAUCAGGGGUUAGAGGUCAGCAGGCACCAUCCAGUUGAAAACAACUGUUUUUGAACAGCAGCAACAGCUGGAGAUCAAGUAGCCAUCACUGCUGAAACAGCUUCCUUCUGACUCGUGUUGAAACUGCUACUUGUCAUCAGCUAGGAUCACUUCAAAAUACUCCUUGAUCUAUGAAGUUGAUUCAAAUUAGAUGCUUAGUCACUGGAAAAACAACAACAAACAAACAAACCUAGAAACGAAAAAUGAAGCAGGAGUCAGUGCCUGGGAAGAGAAGUCAGCCGCCAUCAUCCAUAAGCCAGAAGUACUGUGGUUGGAGGCGAUGACUGUGUACGUGACCCCGUUGCUGCAGAGCUGCCAUUGUGAAGCAUGACUGUGCUCCUGAUCUUUCAUUUAUCCAAUAACCUGCACUAACUUUGAUUUUGAUCCAAUCUCACCUCAGGUAAUUUCAGUCUACAUUCUCAUCUUGUAUUUAUUGAUACUAACACUGAGUUUUUCACUGUAGAACCAUACUGCCCAUAGGUUCACUAGGACAAACUCAGUAAAAAAUUCUGAAACAAAUAUAUUUGACAAGCCAUUUUGGGGUGAAUUGCCCACACUUACAAAUAGACAUUUUGGCUAGGGCAAUGAGACGUAAUCCAGCUGUAUAUAAUUCCCUGGGUGGAUUAUAAAUGCUUGCUAAAGCAUACAAUCACUUGAGCUACACAAUGUGCUACACAAUGUGCUAUUGUGGAGGAAAUGCAAAGUUGGAGAAGUGUUAUAGCUAAACUAAAUGCUGGGAGUUGACAGGACAUGCAGUUUCGUUUGACUUGUUCUUGAAAACCAUUACUGACAACUUUGACAGGUUCUGUAUCUGUAGUUGAUUGAUAGAACUUUUCCAAAUG